GGAAAGUAAAAGUCGUAACAAGGUUUCCGUAGGUGAACCUGCGGAAGGAUCAUUAUUGAAUGAAACACUUCUGGCUUUAUGCUGUUGUGCUGGCCCUUUGGGCAAUGUGCACACGGCUCUGGUCACUUGUUUCUUCUGUUCCACCUGUGCACUGCCUGUAGACACGCUGUGUCUAUGAUAUUUGUUAACACACAACAAUGUUAGUUGGCAUGUUAUAUAUAAUAAUAAAAUAUACAACUUUCAACAACGGAUCUCUUGGCUCUC
rnacentral:misc_RNA from 1 species